GCCGGGCACGGUGUGCACACCUGUAAUCCUAGCAGCUAGGGAGGCUGAGGCAGGAGGAUUGCAAGUUGAAGGCCAGCCUCAGCAACUUAAUGAGGAUCUAAGCAGGACCCUGUCUCAA
rnacentral:sRNA from 1 species